CAACGCGAAUAUAUACGACAGAGAAUUACAGGCCCGCGCGAGCUACGCGAUUCCGCAGUGUAUGAUUUAAGAUUUUAUUAAUAGAUUACUCGUUCGGUCCAUUUCACGACGUACUGUCGUUCAAAAACUGACUUAUAAAGAACAGGAUGUAAAACUCGGAUUAUGAUGCUUCUUUUGGUUCUUACUACCUCAUGAGUGCCCACCCAUCCACGAAGAGAAAAGGCUUGGGGUUAGCCUAACCCACUCCCACGGGGUUCGAUGACGGUGAAAGGGGGUACCUCCCGCCCGGCACCCACCCACAGGUUUCCAUCGGGCCAACAGUACUUGAUUUCUUUGAUUCUUAUUUGCUUACGUACGAUUAUUAAUUCGAUUGUUACCGGCGUCCACUUGAUAUUUUAUCACGUUUUGGCAAUCAUUAAAAUGGUUUCUCUAUAUGAAUCGUAAUUUAUCAAGAGAAAUAUAUAAGAACUUCGUUUCAUUUGGGGUAGAUAACAACUUGAGAUAAUGAGAUUAGAGAAACCAUUUCUGAAGAUUGUUUUUUUUCCGUUAUCUUGCCGGUCCUAAGAUUGUUCAUUGAAAAGUAACAAAAAUAACCGUGAAAAACCUAUGUAAACUACGAUCGUUAAAUGAUAUUGUAACAACUGUUGUUUCAAAUAUAUAAAAAAAAGAAUUAAAAAAAAAAAAAAAAAAAAAAAAAA